UUAAGCAUAUCAAUAAGCGGAGGAAAAGAAACCAACAGGGAUUGCCCCAGUAACGGCGAGUGAAGCGGCAACAGCUCAAAUUUGAAAUCUGGCCCCCAGGGCCCGAGUUGUAAUUUGCAGAGGAUGCUUUUGGCGCGGUGCCUUCCGAGUUCCCUGGAACGGGACGCCAUAGAGGGUGAGAGCCCCGUCUGGUCGGACGCCUAGCCUAUGUAAAGCUCCUUCGACGAGUCGAGUAGUUUGGGAAUGCUGCUCUAAAUGGGAGGUAUAUGUCUUCUAAAGCUAAAUAUUGGCCAGAGACCGAUAGCGCACAAGUAGAGUGAUCGAAAGAUGAAAAGCACUUUGAAAAGAGGGUUAAAUAGUACGUGAAAUUGUUGAAAGGGAAGCGCUUAUGACCAGACUUGGGCCCGGUGGAUCAUCCAGCGUUCUCGCUGGUGCACUCCGCCGGGUUCAGGCCAGCAUCAGUUCGCCGCGGGGGAAAAAGGCUUCGGGAACGUGGCUCCUACGGGAGUGUUAUAGCCCGUUGCAUAAUACCCUGGGGCGGACUGAGGUUCGCGCUCCGCAAGGAUGCUGGCGUAAUGGUCAUCAGCGACCCGUCUUGAAACACGGACCAAGGAGUCGUCUUCGUAUGCGAGUGUUCGGGUGUAAAACCCCUACGCGUAAUGAAAGUGAACGCAGGUGAGAGCUUCGGCGCAUCAUCGACCGAUCCUGAUGUUCUCGGAUGGAUUUGAGUAAGAGCAUACGGGGCCGGACCCGAAAGAAGGUGAACUAUGCCUGUAUAGGGUGAAGCCAGAGGAAACUCUGGUGGAGGCUCGCAGCGGUUCUGACGUGCAAAUCGAUCGUCAAAUAUGGGCAUGGGGGCGAAAGACUAAUCGAACCUUCUAGUAGCUGGUUUCCGCCGAAG
rnacentral:rRNA from 1 species